GAUGAACGCUGGCGGCGUGCCUAAUACAUGCAAGUCGAGCGAACGGACGAGAAGCUUGCUUCUCUGAUGUUAGCGGCGGACGGGUGAGUAACACGUGGAUAACCUACCUAUAAGACUGGGAUAACUUCGGGAAACCGGAGCUAAUACCGGAUAAUAUUUUGAACCACAUGGUUCAAAAGUAAAAGACGGUCUUGCUGUCACUUAUAGAUGGAUCCGCGCUGCAUUAGCUAGUUGGUAAGGUAACGGCUUACCAAGGCAACGAUGCAUAGCCGACCUGAGAGGGUGAUCGGCCACACUGGAACUGAGACACGGUCCAGACUCCUACGGGAGGCAGCAGUAGGGAAUCUUCCGCAAUGGGCGAAGGCCUGACGGAGCAACGCCGCGUGAGUGAUGAAGGUCUUCGGAUCGUAAAACUCUGUUAUUAGGGAAGAACAUAUGUGUAAGUAACUGUGCACAUCUUGACGGUACCUAAUCAGAAAGCCACGGCUAACUACGUG
rnacentral:rRNA from 1 species